rnacentral:lncRNA from 1 species
AGGUCACCAUGGUAUCUUGUGUACAUGGAUCUAUAUUUUGGUUCACCACCUAGCUUGAUUCUUUGAUCCUUAUGUGGGGUGUUCUGGAUAUGGUGAAGUAUGUAUGGAGGUUGUGAGUGAUUAAUAAAAGAUCAGUCACUCCUAAUAAGGAGAGCAAACAUCCUAUGUGAUCUCAUAGGACGAUGAUUCUGAAAGUUUUUGGCCAAAAUAGGAUGAUAAUUAGAAAAAGAUUUCUAAUAUAUCAUCAACUGAAUCAUCACUUUUAGAUUGAGAUACAUAAAGAUAAGUGAUUG